rnacentral:tRNA from 1 species
GGCUCAUUGGUCUAGGGAUAUGAUUCUUGCUUCAGUUCCAAGAGGUCCCAGGUUCAAAUCCUGGAUGAUCCC